AAAAUGAGUCACAGUAGUUGUUGUGUUGUAAACUGCAAGAAUACUGGCAGAAAUAGUAAAUGCAAGUUUUACCGAUUUCCAAGAGCUACUUGGAAACCUGAACAAUGCAAGAAAUGGAUAGCUGCCGUCAGGAGAAUAGAUGCUGAUGGAUUGCCAUGGUACCCAAGACCAAAUGAUUUAAUAUGCAGUGCUCAUUUUAUUGGUGGGAAGAAAUCAGACGAGGCAGCCAGUCCCAGUUACAUACCGACGAUAUUUCCUUCAAUUUAUCGUUCUAAAAUACCAAAUGAAUCUGCAGCUUUGUCUCGGUACAAACGUUUCAUGAAAAAGAGAAAGAAGAAUGAAUUAUUUAACACCAUACCGACCGACCAAAAAUGUAUUCACUCAUCUGAAACAUUUCAUCGAGUAGAAAUUACUUUAAAAUGUGAUCAGGAAUGUCAAGUUGAUAUAUUUUCAAAAUCAAACAAUGCAGGAAAUACAUUUAUAUGUAAUAGAUAUAUUUCUAACCAAGUAUGUGAUGCUGAAAUACAGACAGAAAUAGACAACUCUAAUAUUUAUAUUAAAAAUUACAAGAAAAUGAAGGACAAUGAAAUACCCCACAAAAAACAUAAUAUAUUGAUAUGGCAACUUCAACCGGAAAAUCAGAUUUUACUGGGUUUUCAUUGAUCAUGAGCAACUUAUGGAUCUCGCAAGUUUGAACAACUUUCGAUUGUUAUUAAAAACAUUUGCAAUCUGUCACAAAUACUGUAUUUCCAAAGAAGAUAUGACUCUUUAUUCUUUUAAUAAAUGUCUUUAGUCUUGUUUGGUGUUCACAGAACAACAAUCUCAAGGAUUUUCUAUUCAACUUUAGAAAAUGUAGCUAAAUCAACAGCUAAUUUUGUUUUUUGGCCAAAUAAAGAUACUGUUCAAGCUACAGUGCCAGACUGUUUCCGUGCAUAAUACAGUAACAGAAGAGUGAUAAUAGAUUGCACUGAGUUCAGGAUAGAAAUUCUAGCUUCAGUAGAUAAUCGUGUAUAUUGUUAUUCACAUUACAAGAAGGGAUUUACUGCUAAGUUGCUCAUAGGUAUUACUCCUGGAGGCUUCAUUUCUUUUAAGUCUAAAGUGGCUGGUGGAAGAAAAAGUGAUUCGCAAAUGACGAUAAAAUCUGGAUUGAUUUCAUUCAUUCAUUCAUUAUGCCUCCCUUUCUCAAAAAUAAGAGGGAAUUUUCUACAGAAGAGACUCAAGAAACAUAUAAUAUUGCCAGUGUAAGAAUUCAUGUCGAAAGGAUAAUGCAAAGGUUAAGUUUGA